rnacentral:rRNA from 1 species
UACGAAGGGGGCUAGCGUUGCUCGGAAUCACUGGGCGUAAAGCGCACGUAGGCGGAUUUCUAAGUUAGGGGUGAAAUCCUGGAGCUCAACUCCAGAACUGCCUUUGAUACUGGGAAUCUUCGAGUCCGGGAGAGGUGAGUGGAACUGCGAGUGUAGAGGUGAAAUUCGUAGAUAUUCGCAAGAACACCAGUGGCGAAGGCGGCUCACUGGCCCGAUACUGACGCUGAGGUGCGAAAGCGUGGGGAGCAAACAGG